GAGCAGGUUCACAAAUGCUUAAAGCAAAUCGGAGCUGCCACCCAUUUUGGCAUUUACUCUCCUCAGGUGCAGGUCUCACUAUGAGGCUUCUCUUUGGUGUUCCUAAUAAGAGCAUUACCGGCAUGGUCAUAGGAAGGUGACUUUGGUAAUGGUGAUGGUGGAUGGGGCUGUGUCUGCCUGGUGUUAUCUGUUGCUUCAGCAAUGUACUUGGACCAGAGGACAAAUGAAUUUCUGAGAUUUGGUGUUUACUGGAGUACUGUGAGAGGGAAAAGAAUCUGAAGAUAUUUGAAAAGAGACUUAAAACUAAAAUGCCAAAGGAAAAGUGAAUGAGAAGAUUCCUGAGAUGUAGCUUACCAUCUUACUAAAAAAUUACUAAAAAUACUGUAACUAGUGUCUAUGAAAGUGUCGGUCAAGGCUCUUCCUGGUACAGAUGGCACGGCCAGGAGUUCAGCGUCGGAGAUGAUCAUAUAAUUCAGUCUGGCUAGUUGGCAUUGCGUCUAUAAAAAUAAAACUAGUUAAUGGUUUCAAGGAAAAACGCUUCUCGAGUUUUAGUCGCUCACUUCUCUUGUAACUGUUGAAAGACUGCCUUAUUCAAAAAAAAAAAAAAAACCAGACUGCCUUAUUCAAUUAAAUAUGGCGUCUUGUUCCUUUCAGUGAGGAAGGACAGAGUUCUCUGAUGCUGAUUUAAAUACCCCUGGGUGAGAAAUCUCUCUUCUCUCUGCCCUGCGGACGGGUGCACUGAAGUGCGCAAGGGCUGGUGCUCGUUGCUUCACGUCACAAGCCUGCGUCUCAGUUAGAAGUGAUGGAUCCCGUGCUUCGAACAGUUAUCACCAACAGAGGGGGAACUGUCUGAUGAAUUCUCUGACAACUCUGGAGCAAUAGUUACAUCGAUUCCUCCACAUAAGUUCUCUUAGACGCUCUGCUCACAAAAAACCUCACAUGGGUUUCAAAGCUUUUUGUGUGAGUGUUUGAACACCCCCACAAAGAGACUUCCGAGAAAGAAGCCUCAGUCUGUUUAGCUGGAAGGACCGACGUAAUCUGGCGGUAAGUCUCAUCCUUGCUAAUGGAUCCUCCCUUAGACUCUCUGGGCAGCUUGGCCAAAGGCGUUUGGAAGCCGAACUUCACAGCCUCCACCGCAGGCCGC
rnacentral:lncRNA from 1 species